rnacentral:misc_RNA from 1 species
UCACUGGUGGGUUAACAGUGGCAUCCUACUGGGUACCCAUUCACUGGUGGGUUAACAGUGGCAUCCUACUGGGUACCCAUUCACUGGUGGGUUAACAGUGGCAUCCUACUGGGUACCCAUUCACUGGUGGGUUAACAGUGGCAUCCUACUUGGUACCCAUUCACUUGUUUGGUUAACAGUGGCACCCUACUGGGUACCCAUUCACUGGUGGGUUAACAGUGGCAUCCUACUGGGUACCCAUUCACUGGUGGGUUUACAAUGGCACAUGUUGACUUCAGUCAAUAUUCAGUUCCCCUAUUCCUCUGUAAUGUUGAUGUAAUAGUGCAACAAGUGUAUUGUUAUUACUGUAAUGACAUUUUUGGAAGGUGAGAAUGUCCACCAGAUUUGUUACAGCUUGAAGUGUUUAUUUAUCAAAGACGAUAUUUGACUGAGUUGUUGUGAUACUGUUCCUGAGCUAUUGUUGAUACACAGUUGAAAUGUAUUGUUUUAGUAUGAGAGUUUUAGAUGUACCUUAUGCCUAGCUCUAUUCAGAAAGUAUUAAUCCUUUUCUCUGAGUCUCCUGCAUAUUCUGCUUCUACAGCCUAACCACCAUGUCGUGGUCUCUGAUCAAAGCUGGCCAGGCGACUGGGCUCUCAUUAUCACAGUUACUGGGCAGAACGGCUAUUAGGUGAUACUGCAUGUUUUCUUGGAUAAUAUAUUGUAUUAGUUUAAUAUCAGACCAAUGAAAGUUUGUAUCUCUCCUUGUGCUGCCAUUAAAGAGUUUACAUUGUACAUUAAUGGAAAUAAAUUCAGGAAGUCUGUCAGAUAUGUGUUUGUUUCAAAUAUUGUAAAUAGGUAAAUUGUUUUGGUUGGUUUGGUGUUUGGUGUGUCAAAUUUGGCAAAUCUGACACCAAGGACAUUAAAAGGUUUGGUGUCAAUACCUGUGUGCAUUACUGAAGUGAGGACUACUUCCUCCAGGGUAAUCUCUAUAGUGACCUUGACCUUCACAUGGCAGGUUCUACCGGUAGAGCAGGACACGCUAACCGGUUUUGCGAACACCUGGUGUCAUUAGAAUAAGUAAAUAAGGAUUUAUUGGUGUAGAUCUUUUAAAAUGUUUCCUCCUUUUUGGGGGACAAGUAUAUCUCCUCCUAAGUCAUUAAUGUAUUUAACAUUUGGAGUGUGCAUUACUGUGAUAUUGUGCAUUUCUUCAUUUUUUUGUAUUUCCAGUUGCUAAUCUUGAUUGCUCUAUAUGCAGCCACUUUGGUUGGAUUUUGUCAGUUUUGUAAAGAAGUAAAUCGUCAAUAGUCCGGCUGAUUGUUCAAGUCUUAUAUGUGCAUUUGUUCUGCUCAUGAUAUCAACCACAAGUAGUUUGGUGUCAGAUGUCAUGAUUGUGACAGCUGAGUGUUAAGUUGAUGAUGUAUGUAUUAGAUUGAAUGGUAAAGUGAGCCAUCAGCCCUGUCAUAAGUCCUCUGCCUGAACAUGACAAUAUUAUUUUCGACAUUUCGGUAACUUCAGGGUCCAUGAAGCUGAAACUUCAUGCGUGAUCCCUGCAGUGGUGUCAUGUCAGGUAUUGCUCACUGGUGGACAUCCUGUCCGGUAUGAAACUGUUCGUGCAACACAACAGCCAUGUGGAAAAUGCCUUCACCAAGCCAUGAAUUUCUCAACAUUUAAUAACUGUAUGGACAAAGUAACAGGUUAAUAUUAAUGUGUAUAGGUUUUAAACAUUAUUAGUUUUAACUUUGAUUUCCCCCAGUUGAUCCAGAUAUUGUUAGAUAGAACACUACAACUACCUGGACACAGGGGAGCUGCAUUAGCCUACUUACAAGUAGUGAAGGUAUUAUAACUGCCCCAAGCAUGAAGUGAUGAAGUGUCUUAAAUGGUCACCCACAUUGAUGCCAAGUAGAUGUAGAAUCAAAACAAUGUUUUCGUUACCAACCCAUUUCUGGUGUUGCCUGCCGUGAUGCUGUAUGAAUAUCUGUAAAAGUGGAGUAAAAUCUAAUCACUCACUCACUCUUUACAUGACCAAUUUUCGCUUUCGGCUGAGUGCUGACAUGAGACAGUGAUGGUGCUUUGUCCUCCGUGCAUCUUCCUGAGGCAAGGAAGUUAGCGGACUGUAAAAGUCCAGUUUUCAUCCAAACUGGAACCGGAAGGACACCUUGACCACACACACUCACAGAUCUCAGAAUGGGGUGUCUGGGUCUGUCACUGAUCACAGUUCUCAGGAUGGGGUGUCUGGGUCUGUCACUGACCACACACACUCACAGUUCUCAGGAUGGGGUGUCUGGGUCUGUCACUAACCACGAUCACAGUUCUCAGGAUGGGGUGUCUGGGUCUGUCACUGACCACACACACUCACAGUUCUCAGGAUGGGGUGUCUGGGUCUGUCACUGACCACACACACUCACAGUUCUCAGGAUGGGGUGUCUGGGUCUGUCACUGACCACGAUCACAGUUCUCAGGAUGGGGUGUCUGGGUCUGUCACUGACCACACACACUCACAGUUCUCAGGAUGGGGUGUCUGGAUCUGUCACUGACCAGGAUCACAGUUCUCAGGAUGGGGUGUCUGGGUCUGUCACUGACCACACUCACAGUUCUCAGGAUAGGACGUCUGGAUCUGUCACUGACCACACUCACAGUUCUCAGGAUGAGGUGUCUGGAUCUGUCACUGACCACACUCACAGUUCUCAGGAUGGGGUGUCUGGAUCUGUCACUGACCACACUCACAGUUCUCAGGAUGGGGUGUCUGGAUCUGUCACUGACCACACUCACAGUUCUCAGGAUGGGGUGUCUGGGUCUGUCACUGACCACACUCACAGUUCUCAAGAUGAGGUGUCUAGAUCUGUCACUGACCACACUCAUAGAUCUCAGGAUGGGGUGUCUGGAUAUGUCACUGAACACACUCACAGAUCUCAGGAUGGGAUGUCUGGGUCUGUCACUGACAACACUCACAGAUCUCAGGAUGGGGUGUCUGGAUCUGUCACUGACCACACUCACAGUUCUCAGGAUGGGGUGUCUGGGUCUGUCACUGACCACACUCACAGAGCUCAGGAUGAGGUGUCUGGUUCUGUCACUGACCACACUCACAGAUCUCAGGAUGGUGGUUUCUUCGUCUGUCACUGACCACGAUCACAGAUGUCAGAAUGGGGUGUCUUGGUCUGUCACUGACCACACACACUCACAGAUCUCAGGUAGGGGUGUCUGGGUCUGUCACUGACCACACACACUCACAGUUCUCAGGAUGGGGUGUCUGGGUCUGUCACUGACCACACACACUCACAGAUCUCAGGAUGGGGUGUCUUGGUCUGUCACUGACCACACACUCACAGAUCUCAGGAUGAGGUGUCUGGGUUUGUCACUGACCACACACUCACAGUUCUCAAGAUGGGGUGUCUGGGUCUGUCACUGACCACACACACUCACAGAUCUCAGGAUGGGGUGUCUUGGUCUGUCACUGACCACACACACUCACAGAUCUCACAAUAGGGUGUCUGGGUCUGUCACUGACCACACACACUCACAGAUCUCAGGAUGGGGGUGUCUGGGUCUGUCACUGACCACACACUCACAGAUCUCACAAUAGGGUGUCUGGGUCUGUCACUGACCACACACACUCACAGAUCUCAGGAUGGGGGUGUCUGGGUCUGUCACUGACCACACACUCACAGAUCUCAGGAUGGGGGUGUCUGGGUCUGUCACUGACCACACACACUCACAGAUCUCAGGAUGGGGUGUCUGGGUCUGUCACUGACCACACACACUCACAGAUCUCAGGAUGGGGUGUCUGGGUCGGUGUCCAGGGGAUGCUGCAGUGUAUGUAGGCCAGACUCUAUCACAUGUCAUGUUGGCAACAAGAGCAACAGCUCAAGUGUGAUAGGGGUGGUUGUGUGUCAACGGUUUGCCAACAAUGGGCAAGUGCGUGCUAUUGAUGUAUUCUCAUUACACUUGUCUGAUGUGUCUCACCAUGCUAAGAAUGACUCUCCCAUCAGCUGUCCGUCCAACCAUUUCCUUGGGUCUACUAAUGUCACUUUAAUGUGUAGAUAUCAAUACCAUCAGCAUCACAUCCCCACCUUAAAGAGAUGAUGAUGAUGCUGAUGAUGAUAUCUGCUGUUUCUGUGUCUUGUUACAGUGUGGGAAGCAAUUAUCUAGUAAUUCUGCGUGUUUAACAUCAGAGAAAACUGCUUUGUUAACCUUGAUUUCCAAUAUACAAUCUGGUUUUACGUUGCUAUUAAUGUUUGGUAAUUCUAGGACAUCUGCAUGUUUGCAUGUGUCUUGAAUCUGUAUUCUUUAAUACAGCAAUGUGGCAAUCUCUAAAUAUUAUGUAAAACUGUUUAUCAUCCAAAACUGGCUCCCACAGGAGAUGUGGCUUGGGCGAGAUCAAGCGUUAUUACCCACGUGGUGAAUGUCUUUGGCAAACCUCUGAUUUCCCUCUUCCGAAAUGGUACGGACAUGAUAUAAAGUCAGCUGAUAGAUAAAGGAAACCGAAUCAUUUUGAUUGCAGAGUCUGGGCCCCAGCAGUGCGAGUGACCGACUGUUGGUCCGAUAUUCAAAGCACCCCGCUUAUGUGACUUUUCAAAUUUUCUUAUAGGUGUCCUGCUUACAAACAUGCCGCUUGAAUUACCAAAAGUAAAAGAAAUUUUUCCAAAAGGAUCUUGAGCGUCGAUGCUGUUAUGUUUGCAAACACAACUGCAGGCGCAUGUUGUUAAAUGCAUAUGCAUAGAAAUGUCAACAAUGCCCAUAUUUGGGCAUAUAUAAAUAUUCAUGCGCAGCCAGAUUUUGCAACCGGUUUCAGUUUGGUCUGUCAACAAACGAAAGUUGUUAUGUAUUUACUCUUUAAUAUAUUUUUAACAUGGGUAAUAAGUAAAAUACAACAUUCAUUCUCAGUAGAUACCAUUUUUAUGAAACUUGUGAACUUUCUAUGGGUCUGACCGAGCAAAAGCAAGGUCAGAUACCACAGGAAGUCCACUCAUUUCGUAAAAAUGGUAUCUAAGGAGAAUGAGUGUAGUAUUCUCUAUAUAUCUACAUUGUAGAUAUUGCUGCAAUCAAAUUGCAUCACAAUGUUUUGCAGACCAUUGUGAUGUCAUUGGUUAUUGCUUAUUAAUGUCUUCAAACUGAAAAAGGUGGAAGAAUGAUGUUGGAUGAUAAUUAAAAUCUCACCCUCGUGUCUUUUGAUAUCAAAUAUAUCAACACUUGUAGAUAAAAGUGCAAAAACUCCUUGGCAAGCCUUCGAGUUUUGCCUCUUUUAUCAACUCAUGUUGAUAUAUGAAAUAUCAAAAGACACUCGGAUGAGAUUAUGGAUAAUGAAGAGUAACAUUAAAAUUCAGAAUAUACCGAAUAUAUCAAUGACAGUUUGAAUUUCUGCCUCUCUGUGCCCUGUGUGAACCUGAGGAUUUCAUGAGACAUGAAUGUACACAUCACAGGUGUCUCUCUACUAUGUUAGGUACUGGCUUCACUAUCAGGUACUCCUACAAUACCAGGUACUCUUUAUGUCAGGUACUCUCCACUAUGUCGGGUACUCUACUAUGUCAGGUACUUGCUUUGUUAUCAGGUACUCUGUACUAUGUUGGGUACUCUACUAUGUCAGGUACUUGCUUUGUUAUCAGGUACUCUCUACUAUGUCGGGUACUCUACUAUGUCAGGUACAUGCUUUGUUAUCAGGUACUCUCUACUAUGUCGGGUACUCUACUAUGUCAGGUACUUGCUUCAUUAUCAGGUUCCCCCCCACAAUGUCAGGCCCUCUCUCUACUAUGUUAGGUACUCCCUACAAUGUCAGGCACUCUCUCUACUAUGUUGGGUACUCCCUACAAUGUCAGGCCCUCUCUCUACUAUGUUAGGUACUCUCUACUAUGUUGGGUACUCCCUACAAUGUCAGGCACUCUCUCUACUAUGUUGGGUACUCCCUACAAUGUCAGGCACUCUCUCUACUAUGUUGGGUACUCCCUACAAUGUCAGGCACUCUCUCUACUAUGUUAGGUACUCUCUACUAUGUUGGGUACUCCCUACAAUGUCAGGCACUCUCUCUACUAUGUUGGGUACUCCCUACAAUGUCAGGCACUCUCUCUACUAUGUUGGGUACUCUCUACAAUGUCAGGCACUCUCUCUACUAUGUUAGGUACUCUCUACUAUGUUGGGUACUCCCUACAAUGUCAGGCCCUCUCUCUACUAUGUUGGGUACUCUCUACUAUGUUGGGUACUCCCUACAAUGUCAGGCCCUCUCUCUACUAUGUUGGGUACUCUCUACUAUGUUGGGUACUCCCUACAAUGUCAGGCCCUCUCUCUACUAUGUUGGGUACUCCCUACAAUGUCAGGCCCUCUCUCUACAAUGUCAGGCCCUCUCUCUACUAUGUUAGGUACUCUCUACUAUGUUGGGUACUCCCUACAAUGUCAGGCCCUCUCUCUACUAUGUUGGACACACUCUAUAUGUCAGGUACCCCCUACAAUGUCAGGCACUCUCUCUACAAUGUCUCUCUAAAUAAAGUCCGGUACUAUACCACCUGCUACAAUGUGGGGCACUCUCUCUACAAUGCCUCUCUAAAUAAAGUCCGGUACUAUACCACCUACUACAAUGUGGGGCACUAUGCCAGGUGCUUGUCCUCAUAUUGAUGGGCUUCACCGUGUAUACAGCAAUGCUCCAGGUGUUGAGGUCUCUGUGUUUGCAAUUACAGGUGUGUUAAUAGUCACAGAUAUGUGUGGAUGUUCUGAAAAUAAACACUUUCACUGAA